rnacentral:lncRNA from 1 species
GAGCGAGAAGGAGGCGCUAUGGUGACCAGCACUUAUCAAGGCCGUCAUGGGCAUUUGCGGAUGAAAUCUGACCACGGAAGUCCCACUUUCUUUAAGAGAGAGGAGUUGAGUCGCUCCAUGAGUGACGAUUUCAGGAGGAGAUGGUGUCUGAACACAGAGGUCGUGAUGACCAGCAGACGGAUGUCCCCCUGGGCAGCCAGGGGCUCUGAGUGGAUGGUUUCUUGCAAAGUUCCUGCCCACCUGAGGACAUUCAGCACUGAAGCAACAAAGAGACGAUCCAGCUGGACCUCUUCUUUAGGAAGUCUAGCUCCAAGGAGCCUCCAUGUAAAGGAAUCAUACCCUUUGGUCCACAGGCAGUUGCAGUUCUAGCUCAGCCCAGAUGAGAGCAACAGUUUCUCCUCUGAUUACUGGCCACACGAAACCUCUGGUCAUUCUGGAAGGCAUACAUUUAUUCUUCCUAAGCUCUAGAUCUGCUAGCAACAUCACAGAGCUUCUUUUCAAGGCAGGAUAAUAAGUAAACAGAAGUCUUUAGGGUUUCGAUGUGGGGUGGGGGGCAGGGGGCAUUACAACAAGGAAAAACCUGGAGUAAAGGGAGAAUUCGAAAAAUUUAAAGAACCUUUGACCUUCCAGAGAAAGCCAAAAAUAUUAUUUGUGCUUCGUCUGCCUUCGUUUGGAAAGCUUACAAAACGGGUUAGGAUGGUGGACCUUUCUCCUAAGCUUUGCAUGGAAAAGAGUCCAUCCACCCUAUGCUUGCCCUAACCCAAGCACCAUGCUGGGAGAGGAACACUCCCCUUGAAAGACAGAGAAGGGUCUGAAUGUAACAGAAGAAAAGGUUCCCUAAAUUGGUUUCCAAUUUAUACUGCGGUCAACACUUUAAAAACUCCCCCUCGUUGAGUUUGGGUAAAAUAUGAAAGACUAUUCACAAUCAUCUGAAAAGGCUAUGAAUACACGCCUCCUUCUGGGUAAUUCAGAUCCAGAUGAGGCUGGAUCGUUAUGGCAAAAUACGUCACCAUGGACUGACUGCAGAAGCAGAUAGGAGAAUUCAGUCAUUUU